CCCUUAGAUGUUCUGGGCCGCACGCGCGCUACACUGAUGCAUUCAACGAGCCUAGCCUUGACCGAGAGGUCCGGGUAAUCUUUGAAACUGCAUCGUGAUGGGGCUAGAUUAUUGCAAUUAUUAAUCUUCAACGAGGAAUGUCUAGUAAGCGUGAUUCAUCAAAUCGCGUUGAUUACGUCCCUGCCCUUUGUACACACCGCCCGUCGCUCCUACCGAUUGAGUGUGUUGGUGAGGAGUUUGGAUUGGCCUCGGAAGGUGGUUCGCCACCGUCCGUAGCUGAGAAGUUCUCCAAACCGCCCCACUUAGAGGAAGGAGAAGUCGUAACA
rnacentral:rRNA from 1 species